AGCCCUCGAGCCCUCGUUCCCCUCGCACGCAGCCCCCCUCCCGCAUCUCAGCACCGCCAACCUCCAACAUCUCUCCCUCUCUCGAUCUGCCACUCCUCCCUCUCCAGCGCUGAUUCCCUCUCCUCCCCGUCGUCUCUUCCCUCUCCAGCGCCGAUUCCCUCUCCUCCUCGUCGUCUCUCCCCAGAUGGCGCACAUCUGCAGCUCGGCGGCGACCUAGGACCGGGUGGAGACCUACCUGGCAGCGGCAGGAGAGGAAGGAGCGACCGGAGGUGUGCCUACAGAUCUGGAUUGGCGGCUAGCAACGAAGCCAAG
rnacentral:rRNA from 1 species